UGAUCUUCAUCUCUAAAGCACUACUGAUGAACCAUAUGAUUAAACAAGUCUGUGACUGACUUAAUGAACCCAGUUGGUUUGGAUCAUGCUCAAAGAUGUAAGGGUUACAAAAAGUUAACCAGAACUCUUAUGGACUCCAUCUUCUCUUUCAAAGAGAUGGCAACAUGAACGGAAAAAAGGGGUUGUUGGUGAAAAAAGAGCCUUGACCUACAAAAGGUGCAGCUAAUAAUUGACCAUAUCAAAAAGAGGCACCCAGGCAUCGGAGGCACUGAGAUUAAGGUCUGCAUGGCACAAAAGUUAAAAGAUCUGAGGAGACGAGCAGAAAGGAUGCCUGCUGCAGAAGACACAAAGGACUGAGACACACUUUUACAAACGCACACCACACACACUGACAUGCGCGUACCUGCGUUUUUUUUUUUUUGUGG